rnacentral:rRNA from 1 species
AGGACGAACGCUGGCGGCGCGCUUAACACAUGCAAGUCGAACGGUUUUCAGGAUUUCGGUCCUGGGAGCAAUGGCGAACGGGUGCGUAACACGUGAGCGACCUGCCGAAGUGUGGGGGACAACCGGUGGAAACGCCGGCUAAUACCGCAUGAUGCGGUUGGGCUUCCUGGCCCGACCGCCAAAGGUGCUGUAAGGCACUGCGCUUCGAGGGGCUCGCGGGUAUCAGGUAGUUGGUGAGGUAAUGGCUCACCAAGGCGACGAUCAGUAGCUGGUCUGAGAGGAUGACCAGCCACAUUGGGACUGAGACACGGUCCCAAACUCCGUACGGGAGGCAGCAGGUGGGGAAUCGUUGCGCAAGUGGGUAGAAAGCCUAGACGCAGCCAGUCGCCGCGUGAAUGAUGAAGUUCGUUAGGAUUAGUAAAAUUCGUUACGACCGGG